AUGUGAUGUUAACAAGAUUUAUCCUUUUAACAACGCUGCGAAUACCAAAAAUUAAAUGAAAGCAACAGGAGAAACAGAACGAAGGUGAAGGAGAACAGAUGAUUUGUUCAGAUAUUUAACAGUUGUGCCUGGAAAUUUGAUGCCAGGUUUUUAAACUCGUAUCAUUAUAACAAAGGUACAGUACAUAUAAUGUUUAAAGUUCUCUAUAAACCUUUUCAAAUUCGAAUUUGGCGGUCUCAAGCGCGCAACUGACCACGACACCACGUUAUCCGAGCGACUUUUACUAACCUGUCAAAAUGUGAACGCACUCCUCUCAUUCGUCCGAGUGUCAUGGCCGACGACAAGCGUUGAUACGUUACGAGUUUUUUUUCCUUGCAACAAGUUUUUUGUAUAGAUGGUAAAGAACCAAAGAUGAUUGGUAUAGAAUAUGACAGUGCUGUGCUUUACCAAUACAGAGUUAUGAACCUAAAAUAAAACCAUAUGUCAUUUUGUACGUAUUUCCCCUACUUAUGUUUUUACCAACAUAUCCAAUCUGAAGCUUUAUUUUAAAUGUUAAAAGUUGUUUUUCUGAAAACAUGGAAAUUAAACUUGUUUUAAUACAAGUAUAGUG